rnacentral:rRNA from 1 species
CUGUAGUCUGCAACCCGACUACACGAAGCUGGAAUCGCUAGUAAUCGCGAAUCAGAAUGUCGCGGUGAAUACGUUCCCGGGUCUUGUACACACCGCCCGUCACACCAUGGGAGUCGGGAAUGCCCGAAGUCAGUGACCCAACCUUUGGAGGGAGCUGCCGAAGGCAGGUCUGAUAACUGGGGGUGAAGUCGUAACAAGGUAGC